AUGGCAGGUGAAAAGGUGCCUGAUACAAAGGAGAAGAAACCUGUGCCCAACAAGGCUGGCCGGUGAUGCUGCUGCCUCCUGUCCCCGGGCCGCCAGAGCAGCCAAAAAGGUUCGCCCUAAGGUUAAAAAGCCCAAGAAGGCGAAGCCCAUUGCAGCCGAAACCCUGUCCUGGUGAGAGGAAUUGGCAGGUACUCCUGAUCUUCUAUGUACUCCAGGAAGGCCUUGUACAAAGGGAAAUACUCGGCUGCCAAGCCCAAGGUUGAGAAGAAGAAGAAAAAGGAGAAAGUCCUUGCUACUGUCACCAAAAGAGUUGGUGGGGACAAGAACGGUGGCACCUGUGUGGUGAAGCUUCGAAAAAUGCCUAGGUAUUAUCCCACCAAAGAGUAAGCUGCUAAGCCAUGGCCAGAAGCCCUUCAGCCAGCACAUGAGAAGGCUAAGCUCCAGUAUCAUUUCCUAGACUGUCCUGAUCAUCCUCAUUGGGUGCCACAGGGGCAAUAGAGUGGUUUUCCUGAAGCAGCUGGACAGUGGCUUGCUGCUUGUGACUGGACCUCUUGCCAUCAAAAGAAUUCCUCUGCGCAGAACACACCAGAAGUUUGUCAUUGCCACCUCUACAAAAGUUGGUAUCAGCAAUGUUAAAAUCCCCAAACACCUGAAUGACACUUACUUCAAGAAGCAGCAGCUGGGCAAGCCCAGGCAUCAGGACUGCGAGAUCUUCAACACAGACAAGGAGAAAUACAAGAUUACAGAGCAGUGAAAGGCUGAUCAAAAAGCUGUGGAUGCUUUGCCAAAGAUUAAAGCUGUUCCUCAACUCCAGAGCUACCCGUGAUCCAAGAUUUCCCUAACAAAUAGGAUGUAUCCUCACAAACUGGUCUUCUAA
rnacentral:lncRNA from 1 species